rnacentral:rRNA from 1 species
AUUGAACGCUGGCGGAAUGCUUUACACAUGCAAGUCGAACGGCAGCACGGGGGCAACCCUGGUGGCGAGUGGCGAACGGGUGAGUAAUACAUCGGAACGUGCCCAGUCGUGGGGGAUAACGUAGCGAAAGUUACGCUAAUACCGCAUACGAUCUACGGAUGAAAGCGGGGGACCGUAAGGCCUUGCGCGAUUGGAGCGGCCGAUGUCAGAUUAGGUAGUUGGUGAGGUAAAGGCUCACCAAGCCGACGAUCUGUAGCUGGUCUGAGAGGACGACCAGCCACACUGGGACUGAGACACGGCCCAGACUCCUACAGGAGGCAGCAGUGGGGAAUUUUGGACAAUGGGCGCAAGCCUGAUCCAGCCAUUCCGCGUGCAGGACGAAGGCCUUCGGGUUGUAAACUGCUUUUGUACGGUACGAAAAGGCUCUGGUUAAUACCUGGGGCUCAUGACGGUACCGUAAGAAUAAGCACCGGCUAACUACGUGCCAGCCGCCGCAGUAA